GAGGGACCUGCGGCAUAUCCCAGGUGGUGGUUUGGGGACAAACUCCAUUUGAAACCUGUACGCGAGGAGACGACAGUGAGCGGUGGGACGCAGCGCUCCACCAAUCCUUGUUGCUCUCUCUGAUUGCCUGCUGACAGGCCCAUUUUCAUGCUGCAUGAUGGCCACUGCUUUCUAAAGGCUUCAGCAGGGCCAGGCUGAGAGCAACCUGAUGUGGCGCUUCUCAAGGAAGUCGUAAUAGAAUUUCAUGUGGAAGGUCAGUCCAUCGAUGUGGAGCACUCCAAUGUCCUUGAAGACAACGGCAACGUUCUCCCCAUUCUUCAGGCAGCCAGAGAGCAGGGACACGGUGCUUUGGAUGCAAGCCUGCGCUGUCUGCCAGGUCACAGAGGCAGCUGCGGCCACCUCGCUGCUCUUGAGCGGCUCCAGCUUCCUAUGGGCUGAAAAAUGGGAGGGACGGAGUUGAUGAUACGGUUGGUUUUCCGCAGUGCUUCCCUGGAACUGCUUCUUGUGGCCAUCAGCCAGAACGGCCCCAUGUUUGGCUGGGCUCCUCCGAGGGGGAGGUUUGCUUUGGAGAAUGGAGGCGGUGGCCCUGUUGGCCCUGUGCGUGAAGCCAGCAAAGCUUUAAUCCUCCCUCCUACCUGGCAGGGACUCCCUGCGGGGCUUGAGGUGGUGCACGGCUAUGAGGUUUCCAGACAAGUGAAAGACGGGCCACCGCAGAGUCACGGUCCCGUCCUCAGUCCUGAUGUCUCUGGAGAUGGUGUCAAAGGAUCCGAAGCACAGCAGUCAGGGCAGAAGCAGCCUGAUGGGAUCCAGAGGCUUCCCGCGAGCGGGAUCAGCCCUGAGACAGGACAGCGCCCAGCACAAGUGAUCCUGCGGGAUUUGCAGGAAGCCCAUGGCAUGCCCAGUAGAGACACGUGGGGUGAGUUUCCUGCUUUCUGUGGAGGGGAAGAGUGGGAGGAAGUCUUGGCUGAGGAGGACAGGGAGAGGAGGAACCCGGCAGCCAACCCACCUUCUGCACCA